CUAAAAUUGUCUUAGGAGCAAGGA
rnacentral:piRNA from 1 species